CCCGCUGAACUUAAGCAUAUCAAUAAGCGGAGGAAAAGAAACUAACAAGGAUUCCCUUAGUAACUGCGAGUGAAGCGGGAAAAGCUCAAAUUUAAAAUCUGGUGGUCCUCUGGCCGUCCGAGUUGUAAUCUAGAGAAGUGUUAUCCGCGCUGGACCGUGUACAAGUCUCCUGGAAUGGAGCGUCAUAGAGGGUGAGAAUCCCGUCUUUGACACGGACUGCCAGUGCUCUGUGAUGCGCUCUCAAAGAGUCGAGUUGUUUGGGAAUGCAGCUCAAAAUGGGUGGUAAAUUCCAUCUAAAGCUAAAUAUUGGCGAGAGACCGAUAGCGAACAAGUACCGUGAGGGAAAGAUGAAAAGAACUUUGGAAAGAGAGUUAAACAGUACGUGAAAUUGCUGAAAGGGAAACGCUUGAAGUCAGUCGCGUCUUCUGGAACUCAGCCGUGCUUCUGCUAGGCGCAUUUUCCAGUUUGACGGGUCAGCAUCGGUUUCGGUGGGCAGACAAAGGCGCAGGGAAGGUGGCCGCUCCGGUGGUGUUAUAGCCCUGCGUUGUAUGUGCCCGCUGGGACCGAGGAAUCCGGCUCGCGCCUGGGAUGCUGGCGUAAUGGCUCUAAGCGACCCGUCUUGAAACACGG
rnacentral:rRNA from 1 species